GUCUAUGUCCAUACCAUCCUGAACGCGCCCAAUCUCGUCUGCUCUUGGAAGCUAAGCAGGGUCGGGCCUGGUUAGUACUUGGAUGGGAGAAGGAUGGGCAGAGACA
rnacentral:rRNA from 1 species